AUGCUCGUCGAAAAUUGGAGCCGAAGCUUGAGGUAAGCCCUUCUCCUCCUUCCUUUCUUCCUUUCCUCCUUUCCCUCCUUUCCAUGGUUGUGUGCACCCUCGCUGGCCUUCGAGAUCGUUGGAAAAUUCAUGAAAAGGGUGAAUCCUGUUUUGCUAUGUUUCGAUCGAGACCUUUCCUUUCUUUUUUGGCCACCGGCACCAUUGGUUGCGGCGUCUCAUCCCUAGGAUAGAACCCUCGUCCCUUUAUCUCUCUUCUCUGAAGAUAUUGACCGUCGGUGACCGACCAAUGAUCGAAAAAUAAAAGAAAAAGUGACGGUCCCCUGUUUUUCUGAUCUCUUCUUGAUUUCUCGCUGAUCGAACCUUGCUGCCGGCCAUCCCUUGCUCCACCGCCGCCUUCACCUGCUGUCGGACAUCCGGCCAUGCCGCCACCCU
rnacentral:lncRNA from 1 species